AUGUGACUGGGAGGUGAACAGCAGUCCUCCGUGGCUCUCCCGUCAUCCUUGGAGAUGACAACGCAGACUUCUUCAAGAAUUUGUAAGUAGACUUUAGUCAAAAUUAUUUAAUUCCACACCACAGGAUGCCCAAUCUAUCUCAUGUGUUCUGCCUGUUAAUCUUUUGGUAUUGGCUACUUCUCUUCCAAUCAGUGCUUCUAUACUUUUUGAUUCACUUAUCCCUGAUUGGGGCCCUUUUAGUGGGAUCUCCCGUCUUUCCAGUCAGGUCCAGUUGCAGCUCUCUAGUCGCCCCAUUCAAAACCCAAAGGCCUUCAAAAUUAAAAAUUAAAAAUCAUAUCACAGCUAAAUAGGCACCUUCACAUGUCUGCAUGAUGGUAGAGGGGUUCUACUAAUAUCUCCUGUUACCAAAAAAUGGUUUUCACUUGUAACAUUAUCGCUAUUUCUUUGUUGCUUUUGGGCAAUAUGCUCGCUCUCCUGCCACAGGAGGUUCAGGAGCAGCCAAUAUGAUGCAGGUGUGACGGCUGAAGAUGGUAGGUACCUGUUCAGCCUCCUGUGGUAGGAGCACAUUUCCCAGAAGCAGCAGUGACAAAGAAAUGUGGAUGUUUACCACGAAUAUGGUUGGUUGCCCACGUAUUAAACGUUGGUCUUUCUUUAUUGAAGGUGUGAGUUUAGGAUGGCGUGAAGCUUUGACUUGACCCUAUGGAAACACAGCAGAUGCCACCAAAGGGUACUGAUCGGGGACUCUGAUGACCUUCUGGACGUGUCCCACGCCUCCAUUGGGACACUGACGGUGCUGAAGACAUCGUGGCCUCCUCACUCGCUGGACCUGGAGUCUACAACUAUUGCCAUCGUUUUGGGAGGAACAGUCGUGAUGGGUGACCGUGAUAAUCUUCCCCGUGCCGUGUGGCUACUCUUCGGACUUAUUUACCCCUGAAUUUGGAGUAUCCUCAACGAGUGAGGAACACCUUCUGAAUUUAUUCAUAGAGUGCUUCUCACUUGGACCAAAAACCCUAAAAUACAAUCACUCAAAAAUCUACUGAUGCCGUAAGGGACUGUGUUCAUGAUGUGCAGUCAGGCCCGAGAACUUCACCCUUCUAUCUCCAAUAGAACUCUUUUAUAGAAAAUGUCUGUUUUUGUUGUUUUUCUGUAGUUAAAUUGAGCAAAUGCCAAAAACGCUGUGUUCAUCAUAUUUCUGCGUUACAAAACCUAAUCUGGCAACAUGUUCAGCGUUUUAAGCACGUUGUUUGAGUUUUAAAACAUGUGUUUUUCUUCUAAAUAAACGUCUUCCAUUGUAA